GUGGGCCUUAUUUGCAUGGAAGAUCAGGGUUGGCUGGCCUUCUGGGUGGCCUGGGCGGUGUUCAUCCGGCGCGUGACCAUCACAGCCAUGGCUGGGCUUGGGGCUACUUUCCGCCGCUUGGGCGCCUUGUCCGGAGCUGGAGCCUUGGGCUUGGCCACCUACGGGGCGCACGGCGCCCAGUUCCCGGAUGCCUACGGGAAGGAGCUCUUUGACAGAGUCAACAAACACCACUUCUUACACAGCCUGGCCCUGUUAGGGGUGCCGCACUGCAGAAAGCCCCUUUGGGCUGGGUUACUGCUGGCCUCUGGAACCACCUUAUUCUGCACCAGCUUUUACUACCAGGCUCUGAGUGGAGACCCCAGCAUCCAGACUUUGGCCCCUGUGGGAGGGAGCCUGCUACUCUUGGGCUGGCUUGCCUUGGCUCUUUGAGCUUCCUUGUAUUUAAUUUCUGGGUACUUUUUUGAGAGUUGGAGCAGGGAGGCGAUUAAAAGAGAAAGCCCCGACUGAGCUCCGGAUUCCUGGAGCAGCUGCCGUGUGGAAGAGUGGAGACCUGAAGGAGUUAAGUGAUGAGAGAGGGGGGCAUGUUCCAGAACAAGGCAGGAGCUUUUGAGGCAGCCCUGAAGCAGGAGAGAGCCCAGUGUGUUGAAGACCUGAAAGAAUUUCUGGUGGCUGGCUUGAAGAGCAUGAGAAGGCCAGUAGUGAACAAUGCGGAUGGUGGGGCCCAAAUGGUGGAGGGCCUUAUGCUGAGAGGUUGGACCCUCUUGAGGGGAAUGGAGAGCCACUGAAAUAGAUCAGGGAGGAGGCAUGAUUGGAGGUGUAUUAGUAGAGGAUCACAGUAUUUCUUCAUUUAAAAAUGAAAAAAAUAAGGCCUCAGAGGGGACCUCAGAAUGGCCCAGAACGCCAGCGGCAGAGCCCACACUGGAUCCCCAGGCUCCCACCUCCCAGUCCAGUGCUCUUGCUGCAUUUCCAUCCUACAUCUCAGGUAGUGUCUGGGGCACAUGGAACCUCCAAGUGGAGGAGACUCCGGCAUCCGGAACAGCCACCCUCCCUGUAAUAUGAUCCCUGAUGCCUUUGCUUUGGGCCAGACUCUUGGGGAACUAAGAUAAAUAAGGCCUGCUUGAUAAUUGGUCCCUGUUAUUACUGUACAUUGUAUCCGGUCUUCUCAAGAGUCCUGCAAGUUAGUGGGAAGUGAGGAUAAGAGAGAUGAAGUAACUUAUUCUUUUUUUUUAUUUUUAUUUUUUUAUUUUUAAAGAUUUUAUUUUUUUCCUU